AUCACUUCUCGGCCUUUUGGCUAAAAUCAAGUGUAGUAUCUGUUGAGGCUUAUAAAUUGCUUAUGGUAGGUAUCUUAUUACUAGUGUAAAGAGUUAGGAAGUGCCUACUUUUCAGAAAUGACUUCUAGACAUAUCUGGCUUUUUUGCCUUUUUGUGUCUGUACCA
ensembl:snRNA U2 U2 spliceosomal RNA